GAUUCUGGCUCAGGAUGAACGCUAGCGACAGGCUUAACACAUGCAAGUCGAGGGGCAGCAUAAAAGUAGCAAUACUUGGUGGCGACCGGCGCACGGGUGAGUAACGCGUAUGCAACCUACCUAUCAGGAGGGGAAUAACCCGGCGAAAGUCGGACUAAUACCGCAUAAAACAGGGGCACCGCAUGGUGAUAUUUGUUAAAGAAAUUCGCUGAUAGAUGGGCAUGCGUUCCAUUAGGUAGUUGGUGAGGUAACGGCUCACCAAGCCGACGAUGGAUAGGGGAACUGAGAGGUUGGUCCCCCACACUGGUACUGAGACACGGACCAGACUCCUACGGGAGGCAGCAGUGAGGAAUAUUGGUCAAUGGGCGGGAGCCUGAACCAGCCAAGUCGCGUGAAGGAAGAAGGAUCUAUGGUUCGUAAACUUCUUUUGCAGGGGAAUAAAGUGCAGGACGUGUCCUGUUUUGUAUGUACCCUGGGAAUAAGGAUCGGCUAACUCCGUGCCAGCCGCUGC
rnacentral:rRNA from 1 species